GAUGAACGCUGGCGGCGUGCCUAAUACAUGCAAGUCGAACGCAUAGCGAAAGGUGCUUGCACCUUUCAAGUGAGUGGCGAACGGGUGAGUAACACGUGGACAACCUGCCUCAAGGCUGGGGAUAACAUUUGGAAACAGAUGCUAAUACCGAAUAAAACUUAGUGUCGCAUGACACAAAGUUAAAAGGCGCUUCGGCGUCACCUAGAGAUGGAUCCGCGGUGCAUCAGUUAGUUGGUGGGGUAAAGGCCUACCAAGACAAUGAUGCAUAGCCGAGUUGAGAGACUGAUCGGCCACAUUGGGACUGAGACACGGCCCAAACUCCUACGGGAGGCUGCAGUAGGGAAUCUUCCACAAUGGGCGAAAGCCUGAUGGAGCAACGCCGCGUGUGUGAUGAAGGCUUUCGGGUCGUAAAGCACUGUUGUAUGGGAAGAACAGCUAGAAUAGGAAAUGAUUUUAGUUUGACGGUACCAUACCAGAAAGGGACGGCUAAAUACGUG
rnacentral:rRNA from 1 species